AAAACCCUAGCCGCCAUCCUCUCCAGCCCCCUCACGCUCGCGUUCGCCCCCAGUUCGCCCCCAAUCCGCUGCCCUCAUUUCUCCUCAAUCCCCGCUCCCACCUCUCCCUCAAUCCCCUCUUCCAUCUCUCUCUCAAUCCCCUCCAGCUCCUCUUCGCCCCCUUCUCCUCCAUGUCUUCUUCAUGGCUGUUGAGGAAAAGAGAACCAUGGCCACCACCAAGAGGAAGAGGGUGAGCCAGGGAGGGAGCAGGGACUGCCAUGAGGAGGAGCACGUGCUCCAGCCGCCGGAGGUGGGCUGGUCACACCAUCAGCAUCAGGUUCCUCUCUUUCUCCUCUCCCCUCACAUAGAUCCCCUUUAUCCUGGAACCCUCCAUGGCGUUUCACCGUCGCUGAUGAGACCAUCGAUGGUGAUCAAUAGGAGGAGUCUCUCCCCUUUGAUCUCGCACUGCCUCGUCCUCGCAUUUAGGAGGCAGAUCCUAUAGUUGAUCUCAGGUCUCUCUCUCAGUUCACUCUCCAUGCCCUUAAUCCUGCAGUUUUGUUUGAUUGGCUUGUUAUUGCCUAGAAAAUGUUGCGAUUUCAGUGAUGUUUGCCUCAAUGGGAGCACUUGACUAUGGAUUUGGAUGUUGGGUUUACUAAGCUUGUAUUAGCUUAUAACUAGGUCUGGUCUGGAUAUACUAAUUUAGCAAAUUGUUUGGCAUUGAAUUUUAAUAUGAUAGUGGAUGUGUAAAAGGGCUGUUGUAUGUAUGUGAUAUAGAUUUGGAAGAGCAGACUUGAGACUUGAGGAUGACAUAAUAAAGGUCGCCUUCCUUGUUCUUGUGAUAUUUCACACAUUACGAAUUACCCUCUGAAUCUAUAUGCCUUCUGCAUCUAAUGUUAUACUACUGAUAUCAUAAUCAGUGCUACAGUUUAAGUAGUGCCUCUAUGUUGUUAUAAAAGAAAUACGCAAUCCUGGAAUUUAGAUGCUUAAGAAACCAAUGAUUUUUAUGCUAACUUUGGUGCAGGGCUGCAGGUCAACUGAUAGGAGGACUUUUAAAUGAUUGGGUUCUUCAAGAAAUAGGUUCAAACGGAGUAGGUGGGAGGGUUGGCGGAAGAACACCGAGAUAAUGCAGUAGCCAACAAACCUCAGGUUAUCAAGUAUCACUAAUCCAUUUAAUCUUCUGUCGGAACGCUGAUUUAGAGACUCUUGACCUGCCACUACAUUUGGUAGAAUGGGGUGACAUUGAGCAGAGUAUACUCAACGAAGGUCUCAACAAGUGGUGUAGGCAAUCAUCGAGGCCUCUAUUGUGAAGAUCUUAUGGGAUGGCAAGUUGGCAACCAUUCUUAUUUAUUUCCUGGUAAUGAUAAUCGGAGCAAUAUUGUGAACACUCUUGUUCGUGACCCCGUUGCCAUUAUCGGGAAAAGGUAGUCAAAUCCCAGCAAGUCCAAGACACCUUGCAGAAUAAUACAUGAUUGUGAAAUAUAGCAAGUAAUCUCACAGUCCCUGCCCUUGACAAUUUUGUAUUGUUAACUCUUGCAGUGUAUCGGUUUACUCAUACUAUUCUUUACUGAAAAUCUACACUGAGCUAAGUCAGGAUUGCAUAUUUGAAUGUUUCGGCAUUUUGAAUAGUUAUCUAAGUUAUAUCCUCUUUUGUUGAAUAUGAAUUCUUUUGCAUCUCUACGACACUCUUACUCAUGGUAGUAAUUCUUAAAAACUGGUUAAAUGCCCUAAAAAAUGGGUGUCAUAUGAGUCUAUUAACCCUGUGAAGGAAUACAUCUAUCUUUAGUUCCAUGAGCUUGCACCUCUCCAACACAUCUCAAAGAAAUUCUAAACUACUGUUGUAAGUUUCUUUGUCGCGGUUACUUAAUUUAAACAUUUGAAUAUGCUUGUGAUAUUUCCAGCAAGCCUUUUCAAUGAAAAAAUCUUGAUAUUAUUUGUUUUCCUCUUUUAUAGUCCCCUAUUUUUUAUCAGUAUUGAACAUGAAUACCAUGAGAAUGCUACUGAGGUGUGCUUUCCUUUGGUGAAUUUAGCGACCUUCUCCUCUCAUCAGGCUCCCAUGAAGGUCUACAGCGGCAGGGGACUGGACUGCCACAUCCAAUGAGGGCACCAUUUGUUAUCCUCUUCAUCUAUCUGUGUUGGUUACGCCUCGAUGCAUCGGCGCUGGACCUCGAGAAAAAUUGCUUGACCUAUAUAAUUCCUCUCUCAGUCUCUCACACACGUUGGUAGACUUUUGUAGCAUUUCCCUCUAUUUUUAUUGAUGCUGGUAGGUUUUGCAGCAAGGUUCAAGAUUGGCCAGACCCGUGCCAAAGGAUGAACAAUGAAGCGAACAACACACUCACCCAUAGCUGAGCUCGAAUGGAAACUGGAAAGCAUGUAAUUAGUACCCAAACUCAUCCCUUCCUCAUGGCUCUCUCUCUAUUUAAUUUGCAGGAAUCAUUUAUGUUUGUACAGAUUCCUUAUAUCUUUGCCUACGAGGAAUCUACAGCUUAUUCUCAUAUUUUUUUUCCAUACUCUUAAAUUUUGGUUGAGCAUAUAGGAAAACAAAAAGUGAGUUGUUUUCUCAACUAUUUAAGGCAAUGAUAUUUUUUUAGUCAUUUACUGGUAUUUUUUAAAAUACUAGCUCAUAUGAUGGAAGAUAUGAAUAUUGGUGUGUUGCAGUUUCUCGAACCUAUUUAGGUUAUGCGUGUCAAUUGUUCUUUUCUGAAAAUUUACCCUCCCCAGAGCUUACUGACAUGGCCUUGGAUUUGUGUCACCUAUCUCUUCAUGUCUGAAUGCAGGCCCGGUUUCACCCAGCGUUUGUAUUAAGUGUUGUAAGAUCGGUCUUCACUGGAUCUGAACUUGCUUUACAGUUUCCUAAUGGCUAGGUAAAGACACCAAAUUCAGUAAGCUACCAUGGUGUUAAUUAGCGGCCUCUGGGAAAAGUAGGAGCACGUGCAGACGCUACCUUGCGAAAAUGCUGGCGGUGGCGCAUCGACUAAAUCGCUGGUCGAAGCACCAGGCCGAAGACUCUGAAGACCGCCGCUGAGAUGUCAAAUCUUGGAUGAUAAAGUCGAUGAAAAAUACAACACAUUUAAGCCAUUUGAUACUAUUAAUGGUCAUAGUGAUCAUUAUUAUCCGAAACCGGAGUUAAGGCUGGUUCACAUAGUGAAGAAGGUAAUUGUUUCGUCCUGCCCUGUUUAUUCUUUGCCAUCUUAUAGCAGUACUAAGUUUGUCCUGUCCACAGCCAUCAAAAGACUGGGCGAAGCGUAUUCAGCGUGAGUGGAAGCUUAGAAAAAGAUUUGCCCAGAUAGUUAGCUCUUGCUUAUUAUACUCAAUAUUUUUUAUGAAAGACCUAUUGGGUACCAACUUUUCCGCUCAGUAUCUUGCCGCUAUUAGUACAAAUCUAAUAUGGAUAGAUCAACUAAAGGUUGAGCCCUUUCGGCUUUAGGUACUGAGUUUACUUGCAUUGCCAUGUUACACUAAUAUGAAGUUCUCGAGAUAUAAUUGGUUUCCGUUCUUGCACAUCUGGUUUCUAUUUCUCUUAGUUACUUUGGCAGAUUACACUAGCUGCACCUAACAUUAUGUGUCUAAUGGAUAGUUUAGUAGACAGCUGGUACUGCUUCCUCAAAUUACUGCACGAUGCAAAGCUGUGGUUCUUUUCGAAGGAAAAGCCAAACUGCAUUAGCCUUUGCUUGCUUUAAUAUAGCACAAAGGUCGAUUAUUGGGUGAAUAUGACUGCAGCCACUUCUUCGGUUAGGGAAUGGCAGCUAUCUGAUUGAGCUUGCCAGCCGAUCUGAGCUAUUUAUUUUUUGCUGCCUGAAAUAGAGAGGACCGCACGGUAAACUCUUACUCAAACUCAUUGCACCCUUGCUGCAGUGCCAAAGACAUUUAAUGAAAUACAAAUGUUUAUAGGGUUUUGUGCAAAAUUCUGGGGCUUAGGUUUUGAGACUGGUUGUGCUGACCAACCAUCUCAUAAAGAACAUGUAUAUACAAUUGGUGUUUUCAGUGUGCGGGUUAUACCUCUCCAUAUCCUUUCUUCAAAAAGUUUUCUCUUUGCCUUUUUGCUUCCUGCAACCAGAGAUUUCUAAAACAACUCCAGUCUGAUGUUAGUUUUCUUGUAGACAAAUCUGUCUGCUCUCCCAUUUUUUUGUUGCUUCUUGACGAGUAGAACACAUUCAUUUUUCACUCUGUUGGAUUUCAGGACCUACAUAAUAUAUUUAUGGAUAUCCUAUUUAAAUGCAGAAUGUGGAAGUGGCUUGAUUAUGCCAAAUUGUGCAAUAUACAGUACUGUCAUGUUGGAUUUGAACAAAUAAAGUACACUCCCCCUGCUGAGUAUCGUUGUCAAGGUUGUUUCAGAACACACCAAAUCUUUUUUCAUUUGUUAAAUUGGUACAGAGCUAGGCUUAUUUUUUGUAAUGAUAAAUCCCUAUCAAAAACUGCCUACAUUUUAAUUUAUUAACCAAUGGAGGCAACUCUCAGACUUAGGUUUGUUUGUAUUCUAUACGAAGUGCAAAUAAUGCUCCUGGUUUACAAAUACUUUCCUCUAAUUACAGUAUUAGCACAUCAUUUAUUUUACUCUCCAACAUUUCUUAUUAUGUGAUGUCCUUAAUAUUGCUCUAAUUGCAACAUUCUUUUAUGGCGUCUUAUCUUAUGAAUCUGACUGGUCGGUGUAUCCCUGCAUCCAUAGUAUUCACAACUGGUAUAUCAAAAUCAUAGGCACCCUACCAGUUCGACCGCUGCACACACCAGAUGCGGAAUCUGCCAUGGCCGAUUUUAGUUGCAGGUUUCCGAUUGCCAUGAAGGUGAUCCGUAUUUAGAGAUGGAGAACUCUCCUACGGCCUAUGCCCUGCACUUUGACUCGGACAUGGGAUCCGAUCGACUGCAGUUGGCUUCAGACAGAUCUGCACACGCAGGUUGCCGUGUACUUUACAGUGAUGUUUGCACGUGAAGCUGAGUAGCUGACUUGAUUUCCUUCUAAAGGAAGUGACCAUAAUGAUACUGUGAUAGCCUGGUAGGCAUAAGCAGGUCGAAUUGCUUCAACAUUAUUUUUAGGAUAAAACAACAUCGAAAUUAGUAUGUAUGUGUAUUGUAGAUGUGUGCUUCUUGUUUUAAACACUUAAUAUGGCUUGCAAAGUUCCUACUGAAGUUAACAUACACCCACCGGAGUAAAAGAAUAAGCAGAGGAAAGGAGAUGAAGGGAGAAGACCAGAAAGUGAAGAAUAAAGAAGCCAAGGACAAGGUCACACGCUUGUUCAAGAUGUGCAACCAAGUAUGAUGUCAUGGUAGUCGCAAGCGGUCAAGCAAAAAUGUUGAAGGAAAAGAAGCCAUGAAUGUGCGAGACAGGAUAGAGAUGGUGCACCAUGAAAGCUUGAAGGAAAAAUCAUGGCUUACUAAUAGUGGUACUAUUUUAUUUGGUCUUAGAAAUGUAUUAUUGUAAUGGAUCAGAAUUUUAUUUUGUCUAAUUGGUUAUGUAAGUAGUGAGCACAUUCACUGAAUUGCAGUUUUUCUAUCAGGUUUUGGUUCCUCGAAAUAGGCUUUCGCCCCGCUUUAAAGCCACACGGCCGAAAUAGGUUUUGGUUCCUGCAGUAACAAUAUUCUUCAGCAAGUAUUACUGUAUUGACAUGAA